GAUGAACGCUGGCGGCGUGCCUAAUACAUGCAAGUCGAGCGAACGGACGAGAAUCUUGCUUCUCUGAUGUUAGCGGCGGACGGGUGAGUAACACGUGGAUAACCUACCUAUAAGACUGGGAUAACUUCGGGAAACCGUAGCUAAUACCGGAUAAUAUUUUGAACCACAUGGUUCAAAAGUGAAAGACGGUCUUGCUGUCACUUAUAGAUGGAUCCGCGCUGCAUUAGCUAGUUGGUAAGGUAACGGCUUACCAAGGCAACGAUGCAUAGCCGACCUGAGAGGGUGAUCGGCCACACUGGAACUGAGACACGGUCCAGACUCCUACGGGAGGCAGCAGUAGGGAAUCUUCCGCAAUGGGCGAAAGCCUGACGGAGCAACGCCGCGUGAGUGAUGAAGGUCUUCGGAUCGUAAAACUCUGUUAUUAGGGAAGAACAUAUGUGUAAGUAACUGUGCACAUCUUGACGGUACCUAAUCAGAAAGCCACGGCUAACUACGUG
rnacentral:rRNA from 1 species